rnacentral:rRNA from 1 species
UACGUAGGGGGCAAGCGUUGUCCGGAUUUAUUGGGCGUAAAGAGCGUGUAGGCGGCCAUACAGGUCAGCUGUGAAAACUCGAGGCUCAACCUCGAGACGUCGGUUGAAACCGUAUGGCUAGAGUCCGGAAGAGGAGAGUGGAAUUCCCGGUGUAGCGGUGAAAUGCGCAGAUAUCGGGAAGAACACCCGUGGCGAAGGCGGCUCUCUGGGUAGAUACUGACGCUGAGGUGCGAAAGCGUGGGGAGCAAACAGG